rnacentral:lncRNA from 12 species
GGCACUGUGAAUUGGUCUGUUGAUGACAUUGUCAAAGGCAUAAAUAGCAACAAUUUGAAAACCAGCUCCAGGCAUCUCAAGCUGCUAGGAAACCACUUUCUAGGGAAAAAUAAGCCCCCAUACACAGUAUAUAAUCAGGGCUGGUUUGCUUCCAAAAUUUGUGUUCUUCUUGGGCAGAACUGAUCAUAGUCCCAUUCAGUUUGAAUCCGCUUGGUCCCUCACUAAAAUUGCUUCUGGAACAUCAGAAUAGACCAAUGCUGUGAUAGAUGGAGGUGUUACCCCCACCUUCCUUUCUCUGUAGGCAUCUCCCCAUGCCCGCCUCAGUGAACAAACUGUAUGGGUUCUAGGAAACCUUGCAGGUGAUGGUUCAGUUUCCUGAGACUUGGUUAUCAGGUAUGGGCAGUUGACCCCUGUUGGCUCUCCUUGCAAUUCCCAAUAUGUCAUCUUUAGCAUGUGGUUAUUUACGUCAUCAUACCUGGAUACUUUCAAACCUUUGUUGCAACAAGAAUCUUAUACCUACAUCUGAUGAAUGCUGUUGAGCAGAUUCUUCCUACCUUAGUUUGUCUUCUGCAUCAUGGCGAUCCAGAAGUAUUAGCAGAUACCUGCUGGGUCAUUUGCUACCUUACUAACGGCCCAAAUGAAUGUAUUGAAAUGGUUGUGAAAACAGGAGUUGUGCUCUAACUUAUGAAGUUUCUAGGAGCUGCUGAAUUGCCCAUUGUGACUCCUACACUAAAAGCCAUAGAAAAUACUGUCACUGGGACAGAUGAUCAGAUCUGUGUUGUCAUAGAUGCAGGAGCACUUGCUGUCUUCCCCAGCCUGCUAAUGAACCUCAAAUUAAUAUUCAAAAGGAAGCUAUAUGGACAAUGCCAAACAUCACAGCUGCUCACCAGGACCAGGUUUACACAAUCAGAUUGGAAAAAAAACAAUCAAUGGAUAGAGAACUCCAAAGAGGCUUUCAUCACAAUACAAUGUCCUUGCCCACUGUGCUGUGCCUGCUAGAGCAUGCUAACUACCUCCUACCUUACUGUUAUCCACCCACCCUCCCACUCCUAGGGCAAAGCAAGCAUGAGGUAAGAGGAAGGCUGAUCCCAUAAAUAGG